rnacentral:lncRNA from 1 species
UAAGACCCUAACCGUACCUCCUUUUUCACACUUAACUAUCCCUAGACAACCCUAAUCUCCUCCACACUCUAGAAGACAAUUGGCCACCUCCACCAGCUGAUGGAACAAUAGCGCCGAACACACCCAAAAAGAAAACCCAUCUUCUUCUUCUACACUGCCAAAAACCCAAAAAGAAACUGAUGAGCUCCCAGUCGUAUCUCCCAAAAACCAGCGACAGACACCCUACCAAACGAGCAGGCGCUGCCAGUCGCCCAGACUCGCCGAAAAAAGAGAUCAGUGCCUAUCUCCUUCUGUCACCAAACCAGCGGAUAUCUCUCUCACGACCGCCACUUAACGACCACCUUUCCACAUAAGCUCGAAGCCACAACUCACCCCCACUUUCCUCUAUUGAAGCCUCCCCAAGCCUUCUCCAAAAGCAGCAACUAAAAUCCCCUAAAACAAUCCAAACUUCAGCUUACCAAGGAGCUAAAACCAGUCUCUAAACUCUAAUGGAACAACAAGAGUAGCAAGAGACGAUUUUGAAAGAGAAAUUUCGGGGAGAAAGAUUAGUUUCUUUUUGUUCUUAAUUUUGCUUCAAAAAUCGGGAAAAAAUCAAAAGCAUUAUUUUUCUUCUGGAUUUUGUUCAAAUAGAGUUCAUUGAAGCGAAGUCGAGUUUGCUGUUCGAAUUUGGUUGCUAGUUCGAGUUCCUGCUUAUCUAUUGCUGUUCGCUUCAAAUAUUUAUUGCCGGAUUUCAUUUGAUUGCAAUCAAACGAAGUUAAUCAAGAAUUUUCUUGCAUAUUCAGUCAGAUUCAAUUCAUUGGUGUUUACUGUAGAUGAUUUCUCAUUAAUACUGGGGAGUUUAUUAUUGAGGUCCAUUUCUACUCUCAUCUCAUAUGUGCUUUGCCCUUUUCCUUAUUUUAUUUCUGAUUUUUGAGUAUUUCAUGCCUUGUUCCAUUGUCUUAAUUUGCUUCCUUAGUUUACUAUAUUCUGUGGUAUUGUAGUCAAUUUUGUAGUAGACCAAUGUGAAUUAAUUGGUGUUAAGCUUGAAGUGAUUCUGAAAUAUUAAGGCAAAUGGGUUACAAUUUGAUAAAUAAGACAAAAAUUGAAUUCGAUCAAGGGUUGAUUUAACACAUACAUGGAAUUUUAAGGCAAAUUUGAAUGUGCAAGGAAGGAGAAUUUAAUAAUUCGAGCUUUAGAUGAUUCCAUUAUUUCUUUAUUUUUAUAUAUUAACUCGGUUGCUAAAAAUAUGUUUAGGCUGACCAUACUUGCGUAGACAAGCUUUAGGAUUUUUGUUAGUUUUUAGGCGAGAGGUUGUUUCCUUAGUUAAAUUCAUCUGGGGAAUGCCCCGAAGGAUUUGUAUAUAUUUUACUUUGGAAAAUGUCGCGUAAUAUUCUUUAAUUGGAGGCCAAAAGCAAACUCGUAAUACUUUUAUUUCUAUUUUAUUUUUAAUUUUAUCUUUCUUUUAUUAGGUGAGAACGAUCUUGAGCCUCUUAUCUAUUAAUUUUCCUGUUUUGUGUUUAUUUAGUCAAUACAAUUAUUUUAAAAGUCAGCUUGAUCAUGUACGCAACCGUACUAGUUACGGAACUCGGGGAAUGCCUAACACCUUCUCUCCAAGUCAAAUGAACCCCCUUAUCUAGAAUCUCUGGUGCAAACUGGUUUAAGAGUCAAAUGUGUUUUAAAAGAAAAUUGUUUUUUUUAUAAAAAGAAUGGUGACCUGGCACACUGAAACUAACUGUCAGGUGAUGCACUGAAAAAUCCUUCAAAGUGCAAUCUUUUGUCACUUUUCAAAUUGAAAACCUUUUUGAGCUUCACUUUUAGUAUUUUAAAGAGGGUUAGUGGAGAAAAAAAUGGGUAUGACAACUCUGGCGACUCUACUGGGGACUUACAGGUUCGAGCUGAUACUUGAUCUUGUUGGCUUUUAGCUAUUCAGUUGAGGUGUUUGUUUUCUUUAUUUGCUUUUUUUAUUUGGCUUGUUUGUCUUUUUUACUGUUUUGUUGGUUAUUUAUUUAUUGAUUUUCCUUAUGUGUUUACCGCUUUAUAACUAUCAUUAUUUGCAUAGCAGUAGGUUUUCUUUCUGCAAUAAGUCUUUCGGAGUACGUUUUAGCGUAAAAGGUCUUUUUGUGAGUCACUCAUAUCUAUGGGGGUGGCGUGGGAGUAUGGAGUGGGAGGAUAGCUAGAACAGCCGCCAUCGAUCACGUGUCGUCCCGAAUUGCCUUGUCUAGUGAACCCCAAACUUAGGUAAGCCUAUAGGUCAUUUUUAUUUGCAUCAGGUCAUUUAGACCUAGCAGGGCUCGGUCUCAGGCAUCAUGUUCCUUUAUAGGAGGCUUAUCCAAAUUGUGUUAAAUGGCCAUGGUCCAAAAAGAUAUUCAAUCAUCCCUAUGUGAUAUCUGUUGCAUCUUUGAGGGUAGAAAGGUCAUUUGACAGACUGAUAUUUGGGAAAGAGGGUAAAUAAAAAAAUGAGGCAAGUAGGGUCCAAUUAUGUUUUUCUUUCAUAACUUUUUCAAGAAAAAGACAACCAAAAAAAUGAAAAUGAAAAAUCCAAAAACAAUUUGCGCUUCACAUCAUUUUCCCAAAAAAAAAUCCAAAAUGAUUAUACAUGUCUAAUUAUUUUUCAAAAAAGACAAAAAAUAUAUUUUCUCCAAAUCAGUGUUUUUGUUAAAUCUCCCCUAUAUGCAAUCUUCCCAAACUACGCAUACCCGAUUCUUGUGUUUCAGGGCGGGAUACAUAGGCAUCCCACAUAGGAUCCAGUCUUCGUAGUAAAUCUUAGGUUCUUGGCUUCUCGAGAUCUUAGCCAAAUCUUGCAUGUCUGGCCACAUCGGUUGUUUUUGCGAAAUAGGGUAUUUUCUAAAAGUGGUUUGUUAUCCCAUGUCUUAGAGACCUAAGUCCACAGCAAGGUGUCUUCUCAGUUUUAAGGUCCAUUCCUAUUGAAUUACAUGUCUAGCCAUUUUGGCCACAUCUGCUAUUCUUGCAAAAUGGAGUCAUUUUCACGAAAGUGGUUCAACGACCCAUGUCUUAGGUCCUAAAUCCACAAAAAUGUGUCCUCUUUAUUUAAGUUCCAUUUUGUUGAGUUUGCACUUCUAGCCACCUUAUAGCCACGUAGAUCGUUUUGCAAAAAUAACCUUAAUCAUAUCUUGAACGUGUCCAAUAAAAAGAGUUAUUAUCUCAUAUAGUGUUCUAAUGCUUUAAUUCUAUUUGAUCUUAUUUUUGAAUUCAUGUAUGGAUUCAUUUACCAUCGCUUGAGCAUGACAAUUAAUAGAUACCCCAAACCCAUUCUACUCAUGACCAUUAAAAAUAGGAGCUGCUUGAGGAGACUUUUUUUUUUUUUAAUGUUUUUUAGUUUGUUUUUCAUGUUUUACUUUCUAGUCUUGUCUAGUAAAAUUGAGUCUUUUAGAUGGCGUCAGAGUCUGUUGUACUCAAGUUGAGUUUGUUGAGUUUUUGUUAUCGUACUUCCUAUUUUGUAUUUUUGAAAAUAGAAAAACCAAAAAAAAUAUUAUUAUGAAAAAUUCAAAAGAUUUUUGUUUUUAGUUUCUUUUUCCAAUUACUUUUGCUGAACUACGCUUGAUCUAAUUCAUGAGGGACAUGAUACGUAGUCAACCUACAUAUGGUUCGACCGAAUUAUUUUUUAAAAUUAAAAAAAAAAGAAAAAAAAAGAUGAAAUUGUGGAUGUGAGAAGUGAGAGGAAAGAAAAGAGUGUUUAUCAGAAAGAAAAAAGAAGAAGAAAUAUUAGCGAGCCAAGACGUGCUAGAAAAGAAAGAAAAGAUAAGAUUGAAAUGAACAAGAUUGGGAUGAUGCCAAAUGACUUUGUAACCCUCGAAGUCAUUCUAGAAUCGUUAAUUGUUGCUAGUUACAUUGCACGAGUGAUAUUUCUAUCUAAUAAAUAUCUUAUCGCUAACAUUUUGGCUUUGUUUUGCUCAUCUUUGUUACUUUCACUAUUAUCAUAACAGAGGGUGACUAGUUUGUGGCAAUUUGGCGAUUUAUCUAUACAACACAAGGUCAAAGAGCAAGGAAGCCAUGACUAGCAAAUACUUGGAGAUAUGUGUUGAUUCGCCUAAGGAGAUUGUUGAAUCAGAAUCUGAGUUGAAAGAAGGGUCCUAAGGCUGAAAGGACAGAUGGCCGAAAUGUACCAAGUUGGGAUUAGUGGGUUUCCUCCACCAUUAUUUCCCACUAACUACACUGAACGCCUUAUCACUCCGCCAUUGUCACAAAUCAAGGUUCCCACUGGUGCUGACAUCUCCCCAUGACCUUUUCAUACUCCACUCUCUAAAAUCACCUCAUAUCCCGCUCCUUUGACCACUCAGGUUUUUGCAGCCCCUCCACAAGCUACCCUCCAUCGAGCCUCUGGUGAGCCCGCAUUCUAAGGUUCAGAUAUUCAACACGAUGCCCCGGAAUCCACUUUAUAAAUCCUGGAUCCUUACUCCUACACUCCUUACUUUGCGCCUCAUGUUAAAAUUGAGAAACCACCCAAGAACGCGGAGCAAGAGGAGAUGUUUAAGAAAGUAAAAAGCCUGGAGCAAUUAUUGACAAAUAUGCAAGGGUUAGGAAGCCAGGUGAUUUGUGGCUUAUAAGGAUUUGUGUUUAUUCCUUGAUGUCCAACUGCCUGCUGGGUUCAAGAUGCCCAAGUUUGACUUGUAUGACAGACACAUGGAUCUCGUAGCUCAUCUGAGAGGUUAUUGUAGUAAAAUGAGAGGCGCUGGGGGCAAAGACGAACUACUGAUGGCGUACUAUAGCCAGAGUCUUAGUUGGGCAUUUUUAGAAUGGUACACCCGCCAGGAUGCUGGCAGGUAGUACAUGGGAUGAUAUGACCUAUGCCUUUGACCGGCACUUUCAGUAUAAUAUAGAAAUUGUCCCGGAUCACAUGUCCCACACUAACAUGGAAAAGAGGCCUAAUGAAAGCUUUAGGGAAUAUAAGUAAGAUGGAGACAACAAUCUUCCCGAGUCAAUCCUUCGAUGGAAGAAGAUGAAAUAGUUGAGUACUUUCUUGAAGCUCAAGAGCCUACAUACUUUGGGCAUUUGAUCUCGGCUGUAGGUAAGCCUUUUAAUAAUGUGGUAAAAAUAGGAGCAAUGGUAGAAAAUGGGCUAAAGUCAAGCAAGAUCAUAAGCUAUUCUACUUUAAAAGCCACAACACAGGCAAUUCAGAAUGACACGGGAAGCUUGCUGGGUCAAAAGGAACAUUGUGAUGUUGCCAUGAUUGUCUCAAGAUCACGAUAUGGCCAAACGGGUCCACCUCACCAAUAUACUCAGCCUCGACCCCGACCCCAACAAAUCUAUCCCCGAUCUCCACAUAAUCCAUCUCAGUAUUAUCCUCCAAAUAAUGUUCGAUCAUCUGUCCAACCACUAAGACUCCCUAGAAGGCGAGCACCAGCACUGCAAAAAAUCUCCACUAGCCUCCACAAAAUUUUCAAAUGCCCUAUAACCCACAUCCAAGCUAGGGUUAUAGAGGGGAACAAAGGUUAACAGAUAAUUUUACACCAAUAGAAAAGUCCUAUUCAGGCUUGUUUGAGAAAUUAAGGCAUUAUGACAUGAUUGCACCUAUUCAUCCAAAUCAUGCGGACCCACGUGCAAGAAGCUUCGACCCUUCUAAAAGGUGUGAAUACCAUUCCCAUGCCCAGGGGCACAAUAUUGAAGAUUGUAAUGCUUUGAAUAGGGAAAUAGAAAUAAUGAUUCAAGAAGGGAUAAUUGUGGUCUAAGGCAGCAAUAUCCUAAGUGUCACACAUAAUCCUUUACAUAACAACCCUCAAAUUGUUGGGAUGAUUUGCAAUGACGAAGGGUUGGUUAAAGGAGCCAAUGAACCACCUGGUGAAGACAAUGUGAUCGAAGUUGGUGAAGGUCCUAGUAAUGUUGAUAUGUAACUCAGUGGCUAAGAUGUCGAGCUUGGUCAUUGGAAAGACACUCCUUUCUUGUCUAGCCAAGAAGGAGUUUUGGUGGUUUAUUUUGUUGUCAUUGCUAUCGUCCGGGUUAUAUCAGGGUUGUAAUUUGGAUAUGAUCUUGUGGCUCAAACCUGUCUUCUUCUUCCUCUUCUAAUUUUGUCUAGUUCAUUUUAUUGUAGUAAUUUGUGUUGUGUUAGUUCUAGAGUUGUAACCUAUGUCUAUUCUGCUUGUUUUGUUGUAGCCCUUUUCACCGUCUGUCUAAUGCAAUCCCUUAUUUUCUGUUAGUUCUAGUCAAUUUUGUUUAGGUAACUUUUCCUUUUAUUGUUCUUUCUAUGCCGAAUAUAGUGACUUAAUAUGCACUCAUAAUUCUCAGCCUGGUCUUGGAAGUUAGUAUAAUCACGAAGCAAUGACACAGUUUUGAAUAUGAUAGAAGUAUGAAUUUGAUGAAACAAGUAAAGAUUCACGCAUUCGGAGAUAACCCGCAGCUUGAACAGAGUGAAACUAAGGCAGUUAGUCUGGGAAAUCAUGAGGUUCAUAAGAGCAUAUAGCAAGGAAAUGUCUCUCAAGUAGUUUGAGGUAGAUCAAUUAGUGAUGAAUGCGUUCUUCCACAUCAAGAUAAGGUUGAGUCAAGUUUGCUUCGAACUAGAAAGAGUCUUUCAUUGGGACAAAGGUAUUGCUAUUGGCACAUUUUGUUUGCUUUGAUUCCAUCAAUACAUACUAUGUAUGAUUUUGCAUGUUUGUACUAAACAUUAUUAAAGUUUGGUAUAACGAAUGCAUUUUAUUUUGCUACCCAAACACUUUUAUCUUUAGCUACUCCUUUAGAGCCUUAAUUUGUUUUGUUUCAUACUGUUAUUUUGGAAUCUGAAGUAGAGCUAUGAACUAGAAAAGAAAAGGAAAAAGAGAAAAAGAAGAAAAAGAAAAAAAGAGAAAAGAAAAACAGGAAGAAAAAAAGAAAGAAAAAAGGGAAAAGAAAGAAAAGGAAAAAAGAAAAAUAACAAAAUAAUCCAACUUUGUGUUGGAACUACAUUCGACCUGAUUCUUUUUAAGGAUACAUAGACAGCCUUACUCUAAGGUUCGAUCCCAUCAAAGCAACAAUCAAAACAAAAUUCCAAAACAAAGUCCCCAUACUCCAAGAAACUGCAGCCGAAGUUUUAAUGUUGCCAAAAGUUUGAUUCCAAAAGUUGUAAGUUUGAACCCUUUCAUCUUAAAUUAUUAUGAGCCUUCAUACCACCCUUUCUUUUCAACUCUGUCCAAAAGCCUACAUUACGGUCCAAAGAAGAACCUUCCGGCCAAUCUUUGAGGAUACCAAAUAAAGUGUGUGUUAAAAGUAUGAUAUUCAUGUAUCAUGGGUAAUACCUUGUUAUCAACACAAAGAGAGAAAAUAAUAAAUGGAGAGAGUGUUAUCGAUGAAAACCCUCACGGGUACCAUAAGGUGACAGUGAGUUGAGAAAAAAAUAAAAUGAGGGAGGCUUGAUGGUGAAAACCCUUUAGGGCAUUGCAAGUCAAAUGAGGACUGUGGAUCAAAUAGGACAAUUGGAGCGCUGAAGCCCAAUUUCACAGCUUAGAGGCAUAACAAGAGUUAAAGAUUAGACUCGCUUGAUAGAUCAGGCUGUGUAAUCCAAAAUGCAUGUCAUGGUCAGUGGAGUUGACCUUCAAAUCAUAUCAUUUCCUACUUUUCUUUUUUCUGGGUAAAAGUUCUUUUUCUUGUUAGAUAUCAUCUCUUCUCAUUUUUCUCCUUGUUUUGUUCUUCUUGUUUUAUUUGAGUCCCUUUUGAGUAUGUUUUUAUCGAAACAAGUGAGAAAUAACUUUAAAUAUGCUACCAGCUUUUAAAUCAUAGCCAAUGUUUGGCAAACACAUCAAAUUUACAUAAGAAGUAUGAGAAUAGUGGGUGCACUGAGUUGGUGAUAAUAAAUCUUCUUUGGAAUUGAGGUAAAACGCAAAGAUUUGGUGAAUGUUAGAACACGAGUGCAAAUGUAUCGGGCAUAAGGUAUUGGAUUUGAACGAAUAAGGAAUAUUGUUAUGAUAAGGGCAGUCCGGAAAAGCAAUCGCCCGAUAGCAAUCACUGUCUUCCAAGUUGAUCGUAAUAAGUGCAAGAGAAAUCACCCUCAUAGUCAAGACCACAAACUAACCACCACAUUUUAAACUCAAAAUUUUUCUUCAUUUGAAAUAGGAACAAAGCAGUGCAAGAAAGUUUGUUAAAAAACAAAAAAAGAAGAAGAAGAGAAGAGCCGACAAAAGGAAGUUUCUCAAAUCUUUGCCUUUAUCUAUCUUGCUAGUAUGCAUGUAAUUUUGCCAUUGCUAUUCACUUUCUUUCUCCUAAGAUAGAAAACCUAGUCUGAUGAAUUUUCUCCUAGGAUUGAAAUCAUAAUCUAAUGAAUUUUUCUCCUAAGAUUGAAGACCUACUAUGCUGAACUUUCUCCUUCGAUAGGAAUCUUAGUCUGAUGAAUCUUUUUCCUAAAAUAACAAAAAAAGAAUAAAUACCUAGUCUGAUGAAUUUUUCUCCUAAGAUAGAAAACCCAGUCUGAUAAAUUUUCUCAUAGGAUAGAUAUCUUAGUCUGAUGAAUCUUCUCCCGAGAUAACAAAAAAAGGACCUAGUCUGAUGAGAUUUCUCCUAGGAUCAAAAUCUUAGUCUAAUGAAUCUUUCUUCUAAGAUAGAAAACCUAGUCUGGUGAAUUUUCUCCUAGGACCGAAAUCUUAAUAUGAUGAAUUUUUCUCCCAAGAUAGAAGACCUGGUGUAAUGAGCUUUCUCCUAGGAUCAAAUCUUAGUCUAAAGAAUCUUUCUCCUAAGAUAACAAAAGAAAGUAGUCUUAUGAUUUUUUUCCUACGAUUAAAAUCUUAGUCUGAUUGAAUCUUUCUCCUAAGAUAGAAAACCGAGUCUCAUGAAUUAUCUCGUAGGAUCGAAAUCUUAGUCUGAUGAAUUUUUCUCCUAAGAUAGAAAACCUAGUCGGAUGAACUUUCUCCUAAGAUCGAAUCUUAAUCUGAUGAAUCUUUUUCCUAAGAUAACCAAAAAAACCUAGUCUGAUGAAUUUUCUCCUAGGAUAAACGUCUUAGUCUUAUGAAUCUUUCCCCUAAGAUAAUAAAAGAAAAGGAAAUAGUCUGAUGAAUUUUCUCCUAGGAUCGAAAUCUUAGUCUAAUAAAUUUUUCUCUUAAGAUAGAAGACCUAGUCUGAUAAAUUUGCUAGUCACAUUUUCUUGGUUUAGCUCACAGGAUAUGCACAUCACCGUAGUUUUACUCUCAUCAUUGCUCUUUCAUCAAUAGCAUAGUUAAUUUACAGUUUUACUAAUACCUCACAAAUCUUCGUAGUGCAAACUGGGGUAGAAUAGUUUUGUUGUUGUUUUGAUUACAGUCACCUACCCGGAGACGAGGAAAUUCUUUUCAGAGUUACUUUAAAUUUCAAGACAGUUGCAGGCGCCCACCUGAAGAACGAGGGAAAUCAUUUCAGAAUUCAAUUCAUGUUAGAAGUAGCAAAAUCUCGCCUCAAGAAUGCGAGGAGACAGUCCGAGAUGACCAACAGAAGUGGUCUCAAUCCAGAAUAAAAAAAAGGAAAAAAGGAAGUGAAUCCAAAAUGCAGAAAUAGAGAAAGAUGCAAAUUGCUCACGACAUGGCUGAUGCCACACGAACGGUGUAUCCGGUUUUACUCCGAAGAAGCCGAAGAAGAAUAAUCUAGCACCUGCAGCUAGCUAGCGUCAAGGUUCAAAUCUAUAGUUUGCAUGACAAACCAUUCAAGACUCAAGAUCAAGC